rnacentral:rRNA from 1 species
AUUGAACGCUGGCGGCAUGCCUAACACAUGCAAGUCGAACGAGACCUUCGGGUCUAGUGGCGCACGGGUGCGUAACGCGUGGGAACCUGCCUUUAGGUUCGGAAUAACUCAGAGAAAUUUGAGCUAAUACCGGAUAAUGUCUUCGGACCAAAGAUUUAUCGCCUUUAGAUGGGCCCGCGUUGGAUUAGCUAGUUGGUGGGGUAAAGGCCUACCAAGGCGACGAUCCAUAGCUGGUCUGAGAGGAUGAUCAGCCACACUGGGACUGAGACACGGCCCAGACUCCUACGGAGGCAGCAGUGGGGAAUAUUGGACAAUGGGCGAAAGCCUGAUCCAGCAAUGCCGCGUGAGUGAUGAAGGCCUUAGGGUUGUAAAGCUCUUUACCCGUAGAUGAUAAUGACAGUAUCGGAGAAUAAGACUCCGGCUAACUCCGUGCCAGCAGCCGCGGUAAUGUG